UUGGAGCUACAAUUUGCGGCAGGUCUUUCACCAUGUUUUUGUGCAUCUUCCUUGAUUUGUUGUGGUAGAUGGUUCAAUAAGCAAAAUGGACAGUCGAUUUUCACUCAUAAUUAACUUUAUCAUUUUUCCUUUUAAUGUUACCUACACCAUCUUUAAACAACACUGCUAUUUCUUUUUCUUGUAGUUGUCCAACGCUCAAGAGAUUAUUUUUGAGUUUAGGUACUCAAUACACAUUAUUAAUAGUGUAACGAACCUCAUUCAAAGUCAAUUUCGCUCCA